UAGGGAAUCUUCGGCAAUGGACGAAAGUCUGACCGAGCAACGCCGCGUGAGUGAAGAAGGUUUUCGGAUCGUAAAACUCUGUUGUUAGAGAAGAACAAGGACGUUAGUAACUGAACGUCCCCUGACGGUAUCUAACCAGAAAGCCACGGCUAACUACGUGCCAGCAGCCGCGGUAAUACGUAGGUGGCAAGCGUUGUCCGGAUUUAUUGGGCGUAAAGCGAGCGCAGGCGGUUUCUUAAGUCUGAUGUGAAAGCCCCCGGCUCAACCGGGGAGGGUCAUUGGAAACUGGGAGACUUGAGUGCAGAAGAGGAGAGUGGAAUUCCAUGUGUAGCGGUGAAAUGCGUAGAGAUAUGGAGGAACACCAGUGGCGAAGGCGGCUCUCUGAUCUGUAACUGACGCUGAGGCUAGAAAGCGUGGGGAGCAAACAAG
rnacentral:rRNA from 1 species